rnacentral:rRNA from 1 species
AACGAACGCUGGCGGCAUGCCUAACACAUGCAAGUCGAACGAACCCUUCGGGGUGAGUGGCGCACGGGUGCGUAACGCGUGGGAACCUGCCCUUAGGUUCGGAAUAACACAGAGAAAUUUGUGCUAAUACCGGAUAAUGUCUUCGGACCAAAGAUUUAUCGCCUUUGGAUGGGCCCGCGUAGGAUUAGCUAGUUGGUGAGGUAAAGGCUCACCAAGGCGACGAUCCUUAGCUGGUCUUAGAGGAUGAUCAGCCACACUGGGACUGAGACACGGCCCAGACUCCUACGGGAGGCAGCAGUGGGGAAUAUUGGACAAUGGGCGCAAGCCUGAUCCAGCAAUGCCGCGUGAGUGAUGAAGGCCUUAGGGUUGUAAAGCUCUUUUACCUGGGAUGAUAAUGACAGUACCAGGAGAAUAAGCCCCGGCUAACUCCGUGCCAGCCGCCGCCGUAAGAC